CCAGUUAGAAGACAAUAUCUUGCC
rnacentral:siRNA from 1 species